CACGUAGGGCGCGAGCGUUGUCCGGAAUUAUUGGGCGUAAAGAGCUCGUAGGCGGCCUGUUGCGUCCGCUGUGAAAGCCCGGGGCUUAACCCCGGGUCGGCAGUGGAUACGGGCAGGCUAGAGGUAGGUAGGGGAGACUGGAAUUCCUGGUGUAGCGGUGAAAUGCGCAGAUAUCAGGAGGAACACCGGUGGCGAAGGCGGGUCUCUGGGCCGAUAUUGACGCUGAGGAGCGAAAGCGUGGGGAGCGAACAGG
rnacentral:rRNA from 1 species